rnacentral:lncRNA from 1 species
GGAUAGCAUCAUCAUUCUUUUUAAUAUUAGGCAAUUCAUAUAAUUCAGCCCCAAAGUAACCCUCUUUAUCAUUUUCCUUUCUCUAGGUUUUCUGAAUUUUCCAAGACAAAGCAGAAUUAACAACUCUUCUAUGAAGUAGUUGGAGAAGUUGGGGUGAAGGAUGAGGGGGAAGACAUAGCCAGUGUGUCACUGUGAAAUAAAGUAUGGUGCCAAGUUUGAGACUGAUGCUAAUGACAUCUCACAUCAUGUUGCAUCUUAAAGUUAAUAAAAUGACUUCCUUAGGAACCUGUGAAUAUAUGAUUAUACCUAUUUCUUAGAUUAAGACAUUGAGACUGAAGUGACUUGCCCAGACUCCUACAUCGACUAAGUGUCAGAACUAUUGAGCCUGAUGCAGUUUUUUGACCCCAACAUCUGAUCAUGCAAAUCAUCUUUUUGUUAGUUAGUUGCCCAGACUAUUUUGUUUUCUCUGCCCUCCCUACUUCAGUCUGUGUACCUUGUUAAGUAUUUUAGGCCAUGUAUUAUGUCCCAGAUACCUUCUUGUGAUUGCGGUACCCUUUUGUGCAUUUUAGGUCUUUGCCAUGAGCUCAGGACAGGGACAUCUGCAUGCAUCUGUGAUCCUUUUCCCCUGGACCUUUCUCAUCAUAGACCUCUCACCCGGGUGAGGAAUAGUAAAGUGGAGGAAUUCCAUGGAGACUGGAACAACCUCCAGGAAGUGAUGCAGAGUGAGAGGAGCAGAACCAGGAGAACAUUGUACACAGAGACUGAUACACUGUGGUACAAUCGAACGGACUGAAAUUCUCUACUAGCAGCAAUGCAAUGAUCCACAACAAUAUGGAGGGACUUAUAAGAAAGAACACUAUUCACAUUAAGAGGAAGAACUGUGGGAAAAGGAACACAGAAGAAAAACAACUGCUUGAUCACAUGGGUCGAUGGGGAUAUGAUUGGGGAUGUAGACUCUAAAAGAUCAUCCUAGUGAAAAUAUUAAUAAUAUGGAAAUAGGUCUUGAUCAAUGACACAUGCUAAACCCAGUGGAAUUGCAUAUCAGAUAUGGGAGGGGAGGUAAAGAACAUGAGUCUUGUAACCAUGGAAAAAUAUUCUAAAUCAUCUAAUUAAAUGAAAUAAAAAAAAGAAUAAUACAGUGAUGCCUUAUGGG